GAUGAACGCUGGCGGCGUGCCUAAUACAUGCAAGUCGAGCGAACGGACGAGAAGCUUGCUUCUCUGAUGUUAGCGGCGGACGGGUGAGCAACACGUGGAUAACCUACCUAUAAGACUGGGAUAACUUCGGGAAACCGGAGCUAAUACCGGAUAAUAUUUUGAACCGCAUGGUUCAAAAGUGAAAGACGGUCUUGCUGUCACUUAUAGAUGGAUCCGCGCUGCAUUUGCUAGUUGGUAAGGUAACGGCUUACCAAGGCAACGAUGCAUAGCCGACCUGAGAGGGUGAUCGGCCACACUGGAACUGAGAGACGCUCCAGACUCCUACGGGAGGCAGCAGUAGGGAAUCUUCCGCAAUGGGCGAAAGCCUGACGGAGCAACGCCGCGUGAGUGAUGAAGGUCUUCGGAUCGUAAAACUCUGUUAUUAGGGAAGAACAUAUGUGUAAGUAACUGUGCACAUCUUGACGGUACCUAAUCAGAAAGCCACGGCUAACUACGUG
rnacentral:rRNA from 1 species